rnacentral:rRNA from 1 species
AUAAUCUGCCUCUAUGAUGGGGAGUAACAGUUGGAAACGACUGCUAAUACCGAAUACGCUCAUAAUGAACUUUAUGAGGAAAGGUGGCCUCCGCUUGCAAGCUAUCGCAUAGAGAUGAGUCCGCGUCCCAUUAGCUAGUUGGUGGGGUAACGGCCUACCAAGGCAACGAUGGGUAGCCGAUCUGAGAGGGUGACCGGCCACAUUGGGACUGAGACACGGCCCAA